rnacentral:rRNA from 1 species
GACGAACGCUGGCGGCGUGCCUAAUACAUGCAAGUAGAACGCUGAAGAGAGGAGCUUGCUCUUCUUGGAUGAGUUGCGAACGGGUGAGUAACGCGUAGGUAACCUGCCUUGUAGCGGGGGAUAACUAUUGGAAACGAUAGCUAAUACCGCAUAACAAUGGAUGACACAUGUCAUUUAUUUGAAAGGGGCAAUUGCUCCACUACAAGAUGGACCUGCGUUGUAUUAGCUAGUAGGUGAGGUAAUGGCUCACCUAGGCGACGAUACAUAGCCGACCUGAGAGGGUGAUCGGCCACACUGGGACUUAGACACGGCCCAGACUCCUACGGGAGGCAGCAGUAGGGAAUCUUCGGCAAUGGGGGCAACCCUGACCGAGCAACGCCGCGUGAGUGAAGAAGGUUUUCGGAUCGUAAAGCUCUGUUGUAAGUCAAGAACGGGUGUGAGAGUGGAAAGUUCACACUGUGACGGUAGCUUACCAGAAAGGGACGGCUAACUACGUG